AAUAUUGCGCAAUGGAGGAAACUCUGACGCAGCCAUGCCGCGUGAGUGAAGAAGGCCUUAGGGUUGUAAAGCUCUUUCAGAUGCGAAGAUAAUGACGGUAACAUCAGAAGAAGCUCCGGCUAAAUUCGUGCCAGCAGCCGCGGUAAUACGAAUGGAGCGAGCGUUGUUCGGAAUCAUUGGGCGUAAAGCGUAUGUAGGCGGAACAGAAAGUCAGAAGUGAAAUCCCGAGGCUCAACCUCGGAAUUGCUUUUGAAACUCCUGUUCUCGAGUCCCGGAGGGGCCAGCGGAAUUCCUAGUGUAGAGGUGAAAUUCGCAGAUAUUAGGAGGAACACCAGUGGCGUAGGCGGCUGGCUGGACGGGUACUGACGCUGAGAUACGAAAGCGUGGGGAGCAAACAGGAUUAGAUACCCUGGUAGUCCACGCCGUA
rnacentral:rRNA from 1 species